rnacentral:lncRNA from 1 species
UUCUGCCUUUUACUGCUUAAUACAGAUUCCUACCAAGUAGAGAAAGAUCAGCUGUUUAUGUUCUUGUAUCAGGGAAGUCUGUGACGUAAGUUACUAUGAGCAUCGGGUGAAAUAUCGCUCCUUUACUCAAGACAAUGGAACCCACUUAUAUAGUAUCACUCGGCUCGGACUUUAAUAACAUACAAAACAACACAAAACAACACAACACAAAACAAAACAAAACAAAUGAACAACAACAAAAACACUUGCACUGCCGUGUGAGGAGGCUUGGCUGCCCUUUCUCACACAGUAUAUGAAGUUCAUGUGUGAUGUCUAGAAACACUUUUACAAUCUUCCAUAGCCUAUGAUGUUCUAGGUCAUUCUCUCAGUCACAGAAAUCAAGCAGUCUACAGGACUUACUUCUGAAAAGACUUGUUUUUAAGUCCUGGCUAAAAAGAGCCCUUAAAAUAGUGUUCUGUUUUUGUCAAAGGAGUUUAUACACUAAUCAUUUAUGAACACUGGCUUGUUAUCUAAUGUGUGGGCUCUACGGACUGUGUAAGCACACCCAUGUGUGGUGUGAGACUCAUAAAGAUGGAGUGAGGGUAGACAGCAAGAGAAAGUAGGCACGUGGCAUGAGGGAAGGCAUGGCAGCUGUUUUGGCUCCCGAUUUCUUGUUACAAAUCUCCCUAGCCACUGCAACUAACUCAAGUCUACGCCGUGUGCACACAUUCCUACAUGCCAGCAGGAAAAUGUCAGCAAGUAACAGUUGCCUUGUAUAUAUCACUGUGCUGAUAUCUUCUUGAGCUCAUUUCUCACGUGUGUGCUGGGCUAGCUAAGUAGGUUCAGAGGAGCCAUCGAGGUUUGAGUACCGCAUUUUAGCAUCUUAAUAAAAACUACAUACAUAGCAUUCAACAUAUAACAGGAAAUAUAAAACAAAAAUGAGAUUUUACUCUCCCUUGCCCUCUUAGAGUUUAAUUCUCGUGUGCUUUGCCGAGUAAUUUUUCUCAUGCCCACUGACAUAUGACGGUGCAGGCUUUCUCUAUUCUAUGCAGAGAGUGGUGUCACUCAUUUUCCCUGGUUCUCCUUAAUUAAUGGCUUAUGCUGACACUCCCUUACCCAUCAGACAUUGCUGCAUAUUAUAACACUGUAAGGUUUGCUGUGGUUCUGUUUCUCCCCUCUCAAAGUCUGUGCGGUGCUCCCCUGUCCCCUUCCUUAUGUGAGGCAAUAUGACGUCAUUCAUACAGAAACUUGGUGCACUUCUUAUAGCUCUGGGUAUAGAACGUAUUAAGGGUGGAGUUGCUGGAUCAAAGACUAUAGUAGUUUUUAUUAUAUAUUGCCAGCUCUUUCCAGCUCACUCUACAAAAAUACGGACCUGCUUGUUUUUCUUCCUUUAGUGAGGGAGCACUGGCAAGAGGCAGCUGGCAGGGGGGGUGGAAUCUGAGAACAAAGGCUGUUUGUUUCACUGGGUCUUUGAAAGGGCACUGGGUGGGCAGCACUACUGAUUCAUGGGACAUCUUCUAAGAAAGGGGAACCUAAGAAGCCCAAGUCUUUCCCUCCAACCUUACAAAGCUAUCAAGUAGAAUUGUUGUUAAAAGGAAUCGCAGUUCCCCGUCUUCAGUAAGUUCUGUUGAUGGUGUGUAAAUAUCCCAAAUUCAUGUUGUUUGAAAUGAAGGUAUCUUUGCAGAAGACAGGGCACAGGACGCUGCCCUUUCAUUCAGGGCCCUACGUUGCACCUGCUUAAUCACUCUUUCUUUUAAAAGAAGAGCGAGCACUCGGCUUCCAGCUCUUCAGUCUGAAUUGCAAUUUCUCUUCAUUAUUAAAAUCCUUGAAUAAAUGUAUUUUGUGGGUUUUAUUAUUUUUCAUGCCCCAUUACAUUUUCUAAAAAGAGUUUCUCUGUCCAUGUAAUGACAUUGCUUAAAUGGGCUAAAACUCUUCUGAAGAAAGCUUUAUGUAAAUGUCUAUAAUAAUAAUUAAAUCAAACUGUCUAGUAUGGUGCUAAAGGAAAAAUGCGAUUUUUUUUUUAGCUGAUCAGAAGGCUAGUGUUCUUAGCAGUGUGCUACUUUGAAACAAGUGAGAGGAUUUGCUAUUUGUACCAAACAGAAGAGCAAUAAUCUAGACAUCAUUCAUACCCGAUGCAAUUUAAGAUGGAAGGAAAACACUUAAGCAGAAAGUGUAGUUUUUUAUCUGUAGUGCUGUUAGGUAAUUGUUUUAAAAAUGAGCUUAUUCCAUUCUCAAUAAAGAUUGUGCAAAAUGCCAUUUUGAAACC